rnacentral:rRNA from 1 species
UACGUAGGGGGCAAGCGUUGUUCGGAAUUACUGGGCGUAAAGGGCGCGUAGGCGGCACGGCAAGUCAGGAGUGAAAGCCCUGGGCUCAACCCGGGAACUGCUUUUGAAACUGCCGAGCUAGAGUGCGGAAGGGGCAACUGGAAUUCCCAGUGUAGCGGUGAAAUGCGUAGAUAUUGGGAAGAACACCGGUGGCGAAGGCGGGUCUCUGGGCAUCUCCUGACGCUGAGGCGCGAAAGCGUGGGGAGCAAACGGG